UACAGAGGGUGCAAGCGUUAAUCGGAAUUACUGGGCGUAAAGCGUGCGUAGACGGUUACAUAAGUCGGGUGUGAAAGCCCCGGGCUCAACCUGGGAAUUGCAUUCGAGACUGCGUAGCUAGGGUGCGGAAGAGGGAAGCGGAAUUUCCGGUGUAGCGGUGAAAUGCGUAGAUAUCGGAAGGAACACCAGUGGCGAAAAGCGGCUUCCUGGUCCAGCACCGACGUCAGGCACGAAAAGCGUGGGGGAGCAAACAGG
rnacentral:rRNA from 1 species